rnacentral:rRNA from 1 species
CGGACUAACGCUGGCGGCGUGCCUAACACAUGCAAGUCGAACGAUUCUUUGAUUUAUAGCAAUAUUUAUUAAAGAGGAGUGGCGAACGGGUGAGUAACACGUAGAUAAUCUGCCUUUCAGACGGGGACAACUCAGGGAAACUUGUGCUAAUACCCGAUGAGACCACAAGAAGGGAUUUUUGUGGCCAAAGGCGGGCAGCAAUGCUCGUGCUGAAAGAUGAGUCUGCGUCCUAUCAGCUAGUUGGUGGGGUAAAUGCCUACCAAGGCUAAGACGGGUAGCCGGCCUGAGAGGGUGAACGGCCACACUGGGACUGAGACACGGCCCAGACUCCUACGGGAGGCAGCAGUGGGGAAUUUUGCGCAAUGGGGGAAACCCUGACGCAGCGACGCCGCGUGGAGGAUGACGGCCUUCGGGUUGUAAACUCCUGUCAGAAGGGACGAAAUCCCGCAAGGGACUGACGGUACCUUCAGAGGAAGCCCCGGCUAACUACGUG